rnacentral:lncRNA from 1 species
UAAGUUGUACCCCCGCUAGGGCUUUUGCACUAUACAACAAGUUUACAUAUAUUAGUAACUAAUCUUAAUUAGCUCAACUCAUGUCCUUCAAGACCACACUCAUCUUGGCCUAUAUGGCCCAUUCAACACCAUUCUAUGGUAUAUGCCACUUUUGCAUUUCGGUCUCAUCUAAUGUCCACCACUCAAUGGGCAUUGCAUAUCCGUAUGAGCUAAUACUAUUCACUAAGUAGGCUAAAC